rnacentral:rRNA from 1 species
ACGAACGCUGGCGGCGUGCUUAACACAUGCAAGUCGCACGGGACUGGGGGCAACUCCAGUUCAGUGGCGGACGGGUGCGUAACACGUAAGCAACAUGUCCAAGGGUGGGGGAUAGCCGGCCCAACGGCCGGGUAAUACCGCAUGCAGUCACCGGCGGCAUCACUGGUGACGAAAGCCGGGGCAACCUGGCGCCCGUGGAGUGGCUUGCGGCCUAUCAGCUAGUUGGUGAGGCACGGCUCACCAAGGCGACGACGGGUAGCUGGUCUGAGAGGAUGACCAGCCACAUUGGGACU